AUGGGAAAAAUCCCGGAAAAAAAUCUGGGAAAUCCCGGGAAAAUCCCUGGAAAAUCCUGGGAAAAACCGGGAAAUCCUGGGAAAAUCUGGGAAAAAUCCGGGAAAAUGAUGGGAAAAAAAUGGGAAAAAUCCCGGAAAAAAAUCUGGGAAAUCCUGGGAAAAAUCCCGGAAAAAUCCGGGAAAAUUGUGGGGACUCAUGGGAAAAAUCCUGGAAAAAUCCUGGGAAAUGUCCCGGGAAAAUCCGGGAAAAUCCUGGGAAAUCCUGGGAAAAUGAUGAAAAUGCUGGGAAUUGUUGGGAAUUCCGGGAAUUGUCGGGAGUUGUCAGGAAUUAUCAGGAAUUUUAGGAACAUUGGGAAUUGUCGGGAAUCUCUGGGAAUUCUCGGGAAUUCCCAGGAAUUGUUGGGAAUUGCCAGGAACUGUUGGGAAUUUUUGGGAAUUGUUGGGAAUGCCAGGAAUUUUGGGAACAUUGGGAAUUGUUGGGAAUUGUCAGGAAUUCGGGGAAUCGCUGGGAUUUGUCAGGAAUUGUCAGGAAUUUUUUGGGAAUCGCCAGGAAUUCUGGGAAUUUUUUGGGAAUCAUCGGGAAUUUCCGGGAAUUCCGUGAAUUUUUGGGGGGGAAUUCUUGGGAAUUGCCAGGAAAUGUCAGGAAUUGCCAGGAAUUAUCAGGAAUUUCUGGGAAUUGUCAGGAAUUGUCCGGAAUUUCUGGGAAUUGUCAGGAAUUGUCCGGAAUUUCCGGGAAUUGUCAGGAAUUUUUUGGGAAUUGUCGGGAAUUGCAUGAAUUUUUUGGGGGGAAUUCUUGGGAAUUGUCAGGAAUUGCCGGGAAAUGUCAGGAAUUUCCAGGAAUUAUCAGGAAUUGUCAGGAAUUACCAGGAAUUACCAGGAAUUUCCAGGAAUUACCAGGAAUUGUCAGGAAUUGUCAGGAAUUUCUGGGAAUUGUCAGGAAUUUUUUGGGAAUCGCCGGGAAUUUCCGGGAAUUUUUUGGGAAUUUUUGGGAAUUCCGUGAAUUUUUGGGGGGGAAUUGUUGGGAAUUUCCGGGAAUUGUAA
rnacentral:lncRNA from 1 species